rnacentral:lncRNA from 1 species
CUCACAACUGAAAAGGUUUCGAGGAGAUGAAAGUGUUAGGUGUUCUGAAAGGGAGAGAAAGGAAAGGAGGGAGGGAGAGAGAGGAGGUUCCCAGACUCCCUGUGGCAAAUGAAAACCAGUUGUUGAGUAUCAGCAAUGCCUAGACUGUCGUAUUUUAAAAUCUGCUCUUAAGUCUGCAUGUGACUGAAAGGACAGGUUUUUGGUAUUUGUUGAAAUGACAGGACUAGGAAAGGCCUUAAACCUUGACCUUGACGAAAAAAGACAAUUUGUGACCUUGACUUUUGACAGCUCAUGAAUUGGUCUCAGCCAGAUUCGUAGAUCAAGGGCGCCACCUCGUGUUGACAAGCUUCCUUGACGUUCUUCAGCUUCAAGGGAACUGAGCUCUGACUUGACUUGUUUUAAAGGUUUAGUAGUCAUAUUUUUUUUUUUUGCUCCAAAAGGAGAAUAUUUGAAUAUAUGUAAAUUAUACAUGUGCUUGUAUAUAUGUGAAUAUAAUAUAUGUUUAUACAUGUAUUUGCAUAUCAGUGUUUGUGUGCUUGUGUACAUAAUUGUAGAAUUUGUACAGAUAUUAUUAAUUGCUGACGAGUGAAGAUACUGUAAUUUAAGCCGAUUUCUAGACUUGGGGUACAAAAUGCUCCUUAUGCGGUGAAUUUUGCUUCCUUUCUUUAAUGGCCAACUUUAAUCUGUCCUCACAGCAGCUCGCCGUGCAUCAGAUUUCUACAGAUCUGUUUUAAAGCUGUACAUGUUUGUUACAGUCCAAGACGUGUUCUUAAAUAACCAUUCACUCCCAGCCCUCACCCUCCAAGGUGGUCUGUGACCUUAAUUAGAAUUAUCUGGGAAUCUUUACGGCAAAUUAAAAAGUCUCACAUACCUUCCUAACUCUAGAGUUCUAGAGUUACAUUUCAGAAAUUCAAAGCAAUCCACCUCUCUAAGAAGUCAGUAGGAGAACUUAAAUAUUUCAUCUACAAAAUGAUCACAAUACGGACACAGAAGAAAACUAUUCUAGACAGCUCAGAGCUGAUUGUUGCCCCAUAAUGGUGUGCAAUCUUAUAUUGAUACUUGCACACCAUUUGUUUUGUAGAAGAAAUAAAUAUACUUAAUAUCAACAACCACUAUCAAAACUAUAUUAACAACCAGUAUUAUAGCUAUUGUUUAUUGGCCCCCAACAGCACAGGAGAUAUUGUGUUCAGAGUCAUAAAUUAUACAAUAUGUUUAUGUAUUUAAUAUACAAGUGGGAUAAUG